UUCUCACCCCUCAGCCGUGAGGGUCUCCACACCCCUCACCCUCACGCCUGAGGGUCUCUUCACACCCCUCAACCACAAGGUCUCUUCAUACUGCUCACCCUCACUCCUGGGGGUCUCUUCUCUUUCCUCACCCUCAUCCCCAAGGGUCUCUGCACACCCCACACUCCUCACCCCUGAGGGUCUCUUCUCAUCCCUCACCCUCCACCCGAGGGUCUCUUCACACCCCUCACGCCUGAGGGUCUCUUCUCACCCCUCACCCUCAUCCCUUAGGGUCUCUUCACCCCCGAGGGUCUCUUCACACCCCUCACCCCCGAGGGUCUCUUCACACCCCUCACCCCCGAGGGUCUCUUCACACCCCUCACCCCCGAGGGUCUCUUCACACCCCUCACCCCCGAGGGUCUCUUCCCCCAGGGAAAGGGACCCCCCAGCAAUGGAGGAGAGCAAGGGCCGACACCGGGCUGAAGGUGGGGAGGAAACAUUUCCUGAACCGAAGCAGCGUGUCUUGGAGUAGCUUAGAAAAUAGUAAUGAAAAAAAAAAAUAUAAAAAAAAAAAUAAUAAAACCCACCCACAGUCUGAAGAAAAUUCAAGGAAAUGCUUUGAUUUUUUUUUUUAAAGUUACAUGGCAAUAAUUGCGUGCUCUGCAGAGACAGCAGAGAGAGAGAGCAGCCACUGGGGCCAUUUGUUACUUGAUUUCUCUUUUUUUAAGUACCCGGAGCUCUGGAAUUUUUGCACUCUUCCUCCUCAACCACGGUCCUAAAUUUUGCAGAUAUUGAUGCCUGCUUAUGUUUAAACUGCGGCUAACCUUGUAAACCCACUCCCGUGUGUGACCCGUUGGAGGGGGGCUUUUAGUAUUUCCAUGUUUUAAGUGAGAAAUGCCAAUCCUUUUUUUUUUUUUUUUGGUCAAAUGCACCCAACAUCUAUCUCCCCUCCGUGUUGGCCGGCAAAUGUCAGGAACAACCAGGGCCACGAAAAAAAAAAAAAAAAACCGACCAAAAUUCGAGCAGGGAAGUUGUGCCAGACGUAGACCACCAGCAUCUGUUUAUCAUUGUUGGAGCUGCAAGGGGGAAAAAACAUCCUCUGGAUCCUGAGCUGCCGGAGCGAAGGGAAUGGUUGGUGAGGUGAAGCCGGGGAGGGGGGAUUAGGAGAGUAUUAAUGAGCGGCUGGAACAAAUUAGCGAGGGAGUAGCAGAGACAACAGGAAGGAGUGCGAGGGGCUGGAGAAUCCGAGGUGCUUGUGGCAGUUCCCUGCCCGGCGUGGGAUGUGCGUGCUCUAGGAACCCACCCCAAAAAUUCAUCACACCGAAACACACGGCAACAAAAGCCAUUUUGUGCCAAAGUUGGUUGUCCGGGGCUUUCACCCCGUUACACGAUUUUUAAAUAUUUUUUUUUUAUUUUUGUUAACAGCGUGAGAGUGUGGUUGGAGUGGAUCUGGGGAAAGAAGUAAAUUAGGCUGACAUCAUUCACCCUGGUUGGGACCGAGGCUCCUGCUCCCGAGUUACACCCAGGAAACCAGAGGAAGCGGGUUAUGGUGUGAGGAGAAAGUGGGAAAGGAGAAAAAGAGGGAGGAAGGAGUGAGUGGAAGGGAAGGAGAAGCCGGCAGAGGAAAUGAAGGACGAGGAAACGAAGGCUGCGAAAAAGGGGAAGCAAAGUAAAAGCACAAUGCACGGUGAAUUUUGGGGGGAAAGACCAGGGAGAGAAGCUGAGAAGUUGCUGCAGGGUGAACCAAAGGGAGGCGUUUUGCCCGCAUUGGGGCAGAGGAAUUGUCACACGGAGCUGAGGUGGCACUGGGGCCAGCACGGGUGGCACAGAGAGAGACAGAGAGAGAGGGAAUCGGGGCAAGGAACAAAGAAAGACUCGGGCUGUGGGGUAAAUUAAAAAUAAGGUUCCUGAGGAAAGGAAAGGAAAGGAGCGAGCGUGGACAUCCUUGGUCAAGCCACAGGGGUAGCUGGAAGUUGGGUGCAGAUCACCCGGAGCAGAACUUUGAUCCCAGUGUUUGCUCGCCCUCGGGGAAGGGUGGGAUCACGCAUCGGGAGGGAUGAGUAACUCCUCUGCAAGGCUCCCCUGUGCGGCAUCAGCGGGGCUUUCACACCAAACUGAUAAAGGUGGCGCAAUCCUCCCCGGCGAGACAAUCCUCCAAAGCUCUCCUUCUGUUUGCCUCAAUGGUUUUGGUUGAUUUGUUUGUGGUUCAAGGGUGGGGGAUAUGGCUGCGUCAGUGUUGUGUCAGCCCUGCGAGGGGAGAACUUAUCUUCUGGAGAAGGACAAUGUUGAAGUGUUUCCUAAAAAUGUGAUGGCGAGAUAGCUGUCGUGUCCUUUGGAUAUGCAUCCCGGGACGGGACUUUCGCAGCUGGGAAUGCUUUGUUCCCGUUUUCCAUGUGAUUUAUUUGCAUCCCUGUGGUUCAUUUUGGCCUGAAGGGCCGCCAGUGGGUUGUGUGUUCGCAGACCAAAUCGUGAUUUGGGGCAGAGCGGGAUGAACUUCGGGAGGGAGGAGAUGGGCCCUGGGGCAGGAGAGCGUGAAACGUUAAAUGUUAAAAAUUCUCUUCACAGGUCUGCCUCCCAAGCGACCAUUAACAUUCAGGUGAUGGCUUUGUAAUUUUGCUCAGAGAUCCUUCCGUGGGAAGGGCAGGAAUGGUGCUAACCCUUAUUUAUGGAGCAGGAGAGAAGCACAGACCCGCCGGGGCCAUGCUCCCCCUGCUCCGGAGGAGGAACUCCGUCCCGGGCCGUGAUCCACCAGCACCACGCCAACAAAACCCCACCACCACAGUGGGGACAAAACUUAGCUUGGGAGGCAGAUACGUGACCGAGGCAGCUUUGAAGCCUUUUCUGAGGAAUCCUUCGUCCUUCUGUAGAAUGUUUAAUCUUCCUGUGGAGUGUCUAACUAUGAGACUCCUUCUGCAGACUUUCAUUCUUGUGCCGUACAGAUGAGCAGGGGUUGCUCAGGAUUAGCCAAAAUGCAAUUUUGUGAAGCUGCACUGACUGAUGGGGUUGGCUGCAGUGGGCUCUGGGCCUGGCAGGACUCAGGUUGCACAAGUAUGACAGCAGAAAGUCUGCCCCUUUAGCCUGGACUUAACCAUGGGUAGGGCAAAUAACCUCUUCAGAAGGCUCAAGACUUUUACACUUAUUAAAGUCUGCUCAUAAAAAAGAGACUCUGAAGCAAGCAGUGGUGCUCAAAGUGAAGAUCUGGGAAAAUAAAUGGCCAAAGCUAUCACGCUGUGACAGCUCUGGCAAACCUUUGCACAGUUUUGUAAAACAAACACGCGUGAUGUUCUCUUCUCUGCGUUGGUCUUUGCAUUAGAAGCUCAUACCUAACUCAGAGGAUGAAUAAAAUGGUUCUGUCUCUCCCUCUCCACAUAUUUACUGAGCACAUACUGGUGAAUUAAGUGCCAUCCCUGUGCUGCACCACGUCAGCCACGCUCUGUCAGCACACCCAGCCCCUCUGCAGCUUUCCUGCCUUCCUCGAGGUGUGUGAACCACAGGAGAUGGAGAUCACCCCAGCCUGCUCUGUGGGCUUCAUAUUCCAAGGAGCUAACUUCUCUGGAUCUCAAGAAUCACAGAAAAUAAAACAACUGUCUGUGGGCUUGCUCUGCUUUUCAGCAAGUACAAAAUGUGCCAGUGGACUCUGGUAACUGAGAGUGCCUCCACUGGUUUUCCACACCAAGAUUUGAGCUUCCUUUUAUGAACCAUUUGAGGCUUUUGUGUUCAGCUAGGAAGAUAUUGAAAACUGAGAAAAUUUCACUGUUUUGGACCCGUGGCCCAAGGAGGGGGUGGUGAUGAUAAAAAGCACUGGCACAUGUCAAAUCCAAGUGGUACCAGGUCUGACUGGUGGUUUAACAACUGGCCCAGAGCAGUGUUAAAAGUAAGAAAGGAAAUUACAGCAUUAUUCAUUAAUUUAUGCUUAUGUAUGUUUUGUUUCUCUCCACACACACACACAUGAUAUUGCUCAUAUAUAUUGUUCAUCUGGUAAGGAAGAAAUAAAAAAAGAAAUUGAUACCAGUCUGCAUAUGUGUUCAAAAGCUUAGCAAAUUCUCCAAGCUCUGCUGGGGAUCAAAUUUCAUGA